UGAAAAUUAGUCUUCUUCCUCUCUAACCUAACUUCAGCCCCCUUUUUCAUUCUAUCUUCUUCUCUCUCAUAUGUUUGAAUAGGAUUAUUAGCUUAACUCUGAAUCUCUGAUUAAAUCUCGAGAAAAAUAGUUCCCCUUAUCUAAUGCUCUAAACUUUGAACAAUCUCAUCUCGAUUACUUUUCAGAAUCAACAUUUCUGUCAAUUGCAAUCCACUUUUCUUCAGAGAGAGGAGAGACUGAAUUAUCAGAAACUAAUUUACCAACCAUGAAGCUUUCUGGAGAAAAAAAAAAAAGAGGCUAUCUUGCUGCAUUUUGGCGCUCCUUCGCCGAGUUCAUUCUGAAAAGAAUAUUACAUGGUUGGGCGUAUAGUGGACAGUAUGAACUUGUUCAGUGGAAUGACUGCACUGGGGAGUUGGGACCGGUCGGAGAUUAAAAUGCUCAGUUUGAAUUACAAAAUCAAGGCUUCAAUAAUGGAGGUACAACAACAAACUAGAGUUUGGGGCAUGCAUAAAUUGAAUAAGUUUGCAACAUCAAACAAAUUGCACAAAAAAUUUUGUCUUUGAAAUCGGUAAGCUGGACUCUGGAGCAUCAAAGCUAAAGGCUAGACUGGAGAAUCUGUUGAAAAUUCACAAGUAACAUUUUGAAAACAAACUGCUCUCUACAGAAACCGCCCUAUUUAUGAAAAUCUUUAGAUUUUUAUUAUCAUUCCAGGCAUUACAUGGGAGAAGAGCUUGAUACCUUGAACAAAAAGGAACUUCAAAAUUCAGAACAUCAGCUUGCGCUCUUAAACACGUCAGGCCAAUGAAGGUAAUUUUCUACAGCAUUAGCUUAUCUUUUGAGUUAGCCAAGUGAUUGCCUCUUUCGCUCUUUGUAUCAAUCUGAUCAAUGAUUCGAUGGUCUAUGUCAGUUGAUUUCCUCAAGCUGAGAGGGGGGGGGGGGGUAGGGUGGCAGCCGAUGAAAUGAUCAAUUCAUUGUCAAAUUUCAUACGUUAUAUCUUAGACCUAGGUCUAGUAUCUUUAUUUUGGAUACACAUUGUGUAGUAAAUUUAAUAAUUGGUUUUUAUACUUUGUUCAUUUUAAGAGACAUUUGUCCUAAAUAAUUGGUCGUAUUUGACUUUAAUGGCUAAAACAUACUCCGUACUAAUUUUAACCGUAGAUUUGGUAGAACUUAUUUAUUGGUCCAUAAUAAGGCUAACUAAAUUGACUGAGCAUUUGUUUUGUUUCAGUAAAUACACUUAUGAAAAGAUUUAUCAUAUUUCUCCUACCUUCAUAGUGCACUGCAGGUAUAUAACUUAGAGAUGUUUAUUAGUUACAAGUUAGAACUUUGUGUUUGACUAUUAGCUAUCACGUUUACAUAUUUUGUUUUUUUUACUAGAUCACUUUACUUAAUUAUUUCCUUUUGUUUUGAAAUGCAACUACUCUAAUGCGUCCUCUGUUGCUGACAAGUAUGGUGCGAUUUUGAUGUGUUACAUGGCUCAAAUGAGUGGCCUAAUUGCUGCUGUAAAUAUAAAUCUGGUUUGUGUGGGUGUGUUAGUGAGUGUAUCUGUGGACGUAAUUGCUUGUGGCUGUUGUUGCACUCUGCUUCUGCUGCUGCUGUUGCUGUACAAUGCGGCUGUUGCUGUUGUUGCACAAUGCUGCUGUUGCUGCAUGAUGUUGUGGUUCUGCUCCUGCUGAUGGCUGCUCCUGAUGCUACUGCUGCUGCUGCUAUGCUCCAUACUAUUAUGGUUAUGCUCCCAUUGUAAUUUUUUUUUUUUUUUUUUAUGAAAGUGUAAAACAUUAGUCAUUUAUUAAUGGAAAUAUCUAAGUUUAUUGUGCAA